GGGACGAACAGACGGAAACGACUGCUAAUACCGAAUAAGUUCCAAGAGCCGCNUGGCCCAUGGAAGAAAAGGUAGGCCUCUACCUGUAAGCUAUCGCCUGAAGAGGGGUUUGCGUCUGAUUAGCUGGUUGGAGGGGGUAACGGGCCCACCCAAGGCGACGAUCAGUAGCCGGUCUGAGAGGAUGAACGGCCACACUGGAACUGAGACACGGUCCAGACUCCUACGGGAGGCAGCAUG
rnacentral:rRNA from 1 species